CAGUAGCCGCGGGAAAACGUAGGUGGCAAGCGUUAUCCGGAAUUAUUGGGCGUAAAGCGCGCGUAGGCGGUUUUUUAAGUCUGAUGUGAAAGCCCACGGCUCAACCGUGGAGGGUCAUUGGAAACUGGGAAACUUGAGUGCAGAAGAGGAGAGUGGAAUUCCACGUGUAGCGGUGAAAUGCGUAGAGAUGUGGAGGAACACCAGUGGCGAAGGCGACUCUCUGGUCUGUAACUGACGCUGAGGAGCGAAAGCGUGGGGAGCGAACAGGAUUAGAUACCCGAGUAGUCCCUGUCUCUUAUAA
rnacentral:rRNA from 1 species